CCAGUCACAUCCCCUUAUCACUUUUCCAGCCCAGCUUUGUGACUCUAAGUGUUGGACGGAGAACUGAUAAGGGUAGGUGAUUGA
ensembl:miRNA